GCUUAACGCGAAGAACCUUACCAAGGCUUGACAUACACUAGAACACCCUAGAAAUAGGGGACUCUUUGGACACUGGUGAACAGGUGGUGCAUGGUUGUCGUCAGCUCGUGUCGUGAGAUGUUGGGUUAAGUCCCGCAACGAGCGCAACCCUCGUUCUAUGUUGCCAGCACGUAAUGGUGGGAACUCAUGGGAUACUGCCGGGGUCAACUCGGAGGAAGGUGGGGAUGACGUCAAAUCAUCAUGCCCCUUAUGUCUUGGGCUUCACGCAUGCUACAAUGGCCGGUACAAAGGGCUGCAAUACCGUAAGGUGGAGCGAAUCCCAAAAAGCCGGUCCCAGUUCGGAUUGAGGUCUGCAACUCGACCUCAUGAAGUCGGAGUCGCUAGUAAUCGCAGAUCAGCAACGCUGCGGUGAAUACGUUCCCGGGUCUUGUACACACCGAGGUCUUGUACACACCGGGUCUUGUACACACCGGAGGUCGGU
rnacentral:rRNA from 1 species